ACGUCACGUCCGGGACGCCACAUCCGGUCUUUGUUUUUUUUUCACGUCCGUGAUGUCACAUUCGGCUUUUUUGGCGGCAUAAUAUGGCAUAUGGCAGGCUCGGAGUGCACGAAGCGGUGGAUCGCUUAUUUUUCGGGCUUUUGCUUCUCGGACCGCCACACCGGCCAGCCAGUGCUACAGUGUCCUAAUGCAGAGAACGUAUAUUACACGGAACUGCGCUCCUUCAGAGUUAUUUAGAGUCUUUGUCAGAAGCACGUAACAGUAUCAUUACUUGGUUACGGUAAUGCUACAUGGCAGAAUAUUUGAAUGGCAGAUGUCCCGAGUGCGGCAUCUCCAGCUUCUUGAGACGGGCACGUGAUAGUGCCACGAGUGGGAGGACGUACCGCAGGCGUGAUGUGGCUACUGCAUGGUACAGCCACAGAGCCCACCUAGUGGUGCAGCUCUGUCCUCGGGCAACAAGCUGGGAGACUGCCUUGUGGACCCGGAGGACCUGGACAUGCAGGGUCUUGACAGCAGGCAGCCAGGUCAGCCGGUGAUGAACGUGUAGCCCCGGGUACGUCACUGCCAGGCUUCAAGGUCGCCUUCCAGUUGCAGCUGUGCAGUGGGCGAUUGCUCUUGGGUGGAGCAGCAUGGCCUCGGUCUUCCUUGCCGAGAUGGCAAGGCCAAUGCAGCUCAGUCUGCAGGACAGCAGGCAGUCGGGCCAGGUUGAACAGGAAAGGGCUCACCACUGAUCCUUGUGGGACGCCCUCUACCAAAUAGGUCCAGGGCCUGCUGAACGACUGGAUAGGGCAGGCCGUCAAAGGCCCCCUUCAUGCCGAUAAGCACCAGGAGCACGGCGUCACCGCAGGCCUUGUCCUCUUCCAGCGUGGAGACCACGUCCACGAUGGAGUCCGCACUGCAUCAGCUCCGCCGGAACCCUCUCUGCUCAUCGGCCAGAAAGCAAUGGCCUCCAUCAGCUUGCAAGCAGCAGAGGAAGCCAUCAUCUGGUGCUGUGUACAGCAAGCACAUGCUUCGGACAAGGAGGGAGCCAGCACCAUAUCUACAUCAGCAAGAACCUCGGUGCUCAAAAUAAACAUUUUCUGUGCAAAUACCUGUCUUUUUAUACUUCCAGCAUGAAUUAAUAAGUUUCUUUUGCCUUCACAUGCAGGAAGGUUUAUAGGAAUAAAUAGUGACUGUUGAAUGCCCAGGAAAAGCCUUGAAGCCAUUCUACUUGUACAGUGAUAAAGUACAUGUGUACUUGAACUUGAUAGUACAGAAACGAAAGGCAAAGUAACAGGCAAAAUGCUCGGGGCAGCAGUCGUAUAAAUGGUAGAUGAACACAGCUAAUUGUGCUGUCCAGUUUCAUUCAGUUUGACCAAAUGUUGCAAGAAUUGCCUUCAAUAUGAAUCAUUCAGUUUAGCCAGCUAAAGUCGAACUCGUACAAACUUUGGAAUGUCUGCUGGGAAUUUUAGCAUAAAUGGUAUGUGUGCAUCCUUCAGCAGCACCACAAGCCCAGUAAGGUUUUUGCGUUACUGUCCCCCCUCCCUUGGGGUUAUUGCAGUGUCUACUUCAAGUGCUUGAGGGUAUAAUGGAAAAUGACUCCAUUCUCCAAUGAGAAGGCUAUAUAAAUAUGCAGGACAAGAGCUUGUAGGCCUGGUUAUAAGCAUGAAUUAGAUAUGUAUAGACCAAAGGCAAUAUGAAUACAAUAUGUUAAAUUGCAUCCAUAUGUGGGAACUGCCCACAUCAAAGGAAAGAAAGUGCAAUACUUGCAACCUACCAACAUAAACAUCAGUCUAGGGAAGGAUUCUGUAAGGAUCCACUAAGUGGACUGUUUCAGCACACACUGAUUAGGUAGAGCUAUAAGCUGGUAGAGCAAGUGGCAAUCAUCACCAUGGGCUCUCGUGCUCUAUUCAUUCAGCGUGUACUGGAAUGGACAGUCCACUUAGUCAACACUUACAGACUAGCCCCCUAGGGCUGUGGAAGCACGCAGUAUAUUAAGCUUAAGUCUGGAGUGCUACCUUCUGCUUAUGUGGCAAGUCCUCCUGUUUACCUGUUCCUUUCAACUGAGAGCUGAGCACUGCCUAGGUUAAGUCAGAAAAAGCAACCAGCGUCCAUAGAAUUCAAACUAUUACUAUUUGCCCUAUAUAAGGGGACAGUGAAGCCUAAAAUGACACUUGACUUGGGCCAUAUUUUUCACGAUAUGCCCGAGAAUAUUGGGAUUUCCCAUCAAUUUUACCCUUCCUACAUCACAUAGUGAACAACCUGAAAACUUAACACUGUUGCGCAGAGCGAUGAAGGGUCAGGAUUUGAGCGAGAAAACAACACAUGACACCUGAGCGCAAACUAUGAACUGGUUUAUUUUUCUGCAAGUGAAGCGUACAUAAAGCCUACACGCAUGCACAGGAGUCCUCUUCCCGGUCUACCUACACCCUCUAUUGUCAGUGAUUAUGCUAAUCUCUUUAUUGCUGAGUGAAAUAGACGGCGGGCUGACACAUGAGCCCUGUGGGUCCACCUUGAGGUUGUAUGCUUCCACGACUUGUCUUUUCCUUUGGUUCCUACUUUUCAGCAGAAUCAUUGCCUUGUGAUAAUCACCAGUUGAUAGUUUGUGCUCAGGUGUCUAUUGUUUUCUCGCUCAAGUCCUGUCCCUUCGUCACUCCGCACAACAGUGUUAAGUAUGUUGAACCAACUAGCACACUGCACAAUUUUCCUGAUCUUGAAAACAAUUGUAAACUAAAGUCCGUGAGAAACAAAGUGUUCUGUCAUGACAUACAGAUUUAUGCAUGAUCACUUUGCUAUAUAAAAAUACAAUUUUAGCCAAUGUUAACGAAGAGCUUCACUUCUGGAGUUCACUUAAAUAAUGUCUGUGAUGCAUUGUGACAGUACGAGGUCCUGGAGAUCCUACUGUGGAGAUAUGUCAACAUUGAGCCUAUUCCUGUUUAAUGUAUGGAUAGAUGCCUUCACGAAGAGUUGGAGAAACUGCACAAUACAAUGUUUUAUAUCACAUGUAAUAAUUAUGCUGUGAUAAAGUGUACACGCUGAGCUUAAUGUUUUAGAAAAGCUCAAGAAAAGGCUCCAGAAUAGGUAUGAUGGAUAGGCAACCUUUUAUUUGGCUCUCUUCAUAGUGAAAUCUAGACGCAUCACCUCAGCCACACUUAGUAAAAUCUGUGGGCUCGUACUGCCCAUGCCUUUACUGCACAAGUUGCCUUGGUGCUCCCAGUCUUGACAGGUAACACUUAAGCACACUCUCAUGCACGUGUUUGUUCCAAAGCUACAGCUGCUAACUAAAGUAACUCCCACAUGCGAUUCUGUAACUCUAGACCUAACUGCAAAAACGCAUGCAGUACUACGAGUUUGGCAUGGAGUCCACAUGACAUGUGCACAACUUCAAAUUUCGUAUAGGCAACAGAUAACUGGUAACCUGUUAGAGUAACAAAAUGGAUGCCAAGGAAAAUUCACCCAAAGCCUUAGGCAGGAAAAUGAGGUGUUGUGAUGAGAUAAAUAGCAAUCACAUUUGAUCGACUGACUAAAAGCUGGCAGGGGUAUUGCAUUUGACAUGAUUGAAAUGAGCUGCAGCAUGGCAUGGUAACUGUGGCAGCCUUUACAAUGCCGCGCUCUCUGAAUUACACUUAUGUGCAUCCAUAUGCUGCAGCGACCAACUGUUUUUAUUCAAGAAAGCCAGGUUUGUGGUUCAGCACACAUCAUACGCUGGCAAACUCACUGAUGAGUCAACUCCCUGAGAUCAUCCCAUGAGUCUGAGUGAGCCCAGCUGAGCAGUAUUUUGGCGAGUUUGAGCCCGAGUGAGCUCGGCUGAGUAGUAUAUUCUUAUGAGUUCAAGUGAGCAGCUAAUUAUAAUUUUGGCGAGUCUAAAUAGUGAGUUCCGAUUAUUUUGCCAACAUAUAUAUGGUCCGUGUACUUUCGAAAUUCAGCUACGACACUUGCGCAUAGGUUGGAAAUUAAGCUUCUCGCCAAGUGACUACUGCAUAAAUGAUCAUAGAGCUAGCGAAGAACGAUACGCCUUAAUGAUGCAGCGUGCCGCGCGGGAUCCAUGUGUGCAGCGUGCCAGUGGAUGGGUGCGUGUUUGGGAAAUUAGGGGGUUUCGACCCAUCCACAGAUAAUUUACAUAAUACCUUUCUCCAUAGUGUAUUAUUGCGAUAGCAAUUUUUGGACACCCUAAGCGAAUUUUCGCCAUCGCCCUGAUGUUUGGUUUAAAGUCCAAGUGUGACAAAAAUUAUAGUGCUCCGUUGCAUCCCACAUGCUGGGGUUAAUUGCGAAUGAAAGGGUGCGAUUGUGAGCCGAGAAGGAUGGCAGCUUUAUGCGCGCUGUCCACGUCCCGUGAUCAAGUGCGCGCUAGGGUCAGAGAGCGCGCGACGUCUCUUGCCCGGCCGUGCCCGUGCAUAUGGCUGUCCGCGCGCAGCAGAGUGCAUAUACACGGCCCGCGCGUGCCACAUUUUUUAAAAGUAAUUUGCGGCCGGUGUAAAGGCGGCAAGCCGACGUGGCUGCUGGUUUCACGAGUGUCAAUUGGAAGUAGCGAUAUCUAAGUUUCGGGCGAAACUUAGAGAACAGUGACUUCCUUAGAGGGGCCAAAAUUUUGGGGCGCAUGAGCGGCACGUAUAGUAGAAUGCAGUGUUCCAUUGUAAAAAAAAAAAUUGAUGUAACAAAAUAGAGUGCUGAGUGUUACGUCUUUGUUACAUCAAGGUUCAACAAAAAUUAAGCGCUGGAAAUCAGCGCUGGACGCACAUGCAACUCCUUACUCCACACUGAAAACAUUUGAGAAAACAUUUUUUUUAAAUACUUUGUACAUUUGUAUAAAUCCCUACCUGCGGAUAUUCCUCUGGUUUAGCCUAAUUAUGUGCUGCCUACUUAACUUACUGACGCAGCAUACGUAUCAUUGCGAAAUUUAUAAUUUUUUGCUUUUAGAAAAAGCAUCGAGUUAUUGAAUUUUGCGAACAGAAAAAAAAUUGCAACUUCCAAUAUAGCGCGCUUCCUAGGCUAUUAAAUAGCUACAAUGUUCAAGGAACGUACUGUUUCCAUGAGUGGUUUACUCAUGCAGUAAGAUGUACUGCUCCUACACCUUGUAAUAAAAAGCAUAUGCAUCGACACAUAGCAGCUGAUAUUCUUGCUUAUUUUCUCAUCACAGAGGUAGAUGGGGCACAUGAACCAAUAUGCUCACACAAAUCAACGUGACCAACUACUGCGGAGACAUGGCAACGAAUUCUUUGUUUACCUUGUACACCACAAGUGCGAGGUUUGCGCAUUAAUUUGACUUCAUGAAACCCUAUUUAUACUACAGGCUUUACGGCAAUGCUUGCAUGCAGUGCGGUGAAGCGCUCGACGAAACUGCACAUAUUAUAUGAUUUGUUUGAUAUUAACUCGAGAUGCAAACGUUUGUGCAGGCAGGCAAGCAAUGUUUCCAUUCACGCAGCGCACCAAAAUAGCGAGGUAUAUGCAUUGAUCUGGUUUCAUGACAUCGUACUUUUGCCACUAGCUUUACGGCAGUGCUUGUGUAUAGUGCUGCGAAGCACGACGGAACUGCACGUUAUUAUACGGUGUGCUUGAAAUCCACUCGAGAUGCAAACGUUUGUGCAGGCAGGAAACGAAUGAUUUAAUUCACGUAGCACAACACGAGAGCGCGCUCUAUGCAGUCCUUUGAUUGAAUAAAACUCUAUUUCUGCCACAGGCUUCACAGCAAUGCUUGUGUAGAGGGCUGUGAAGCUCGACGCAGCUGUAACAACAUCCCACAGUACACCCGAUUUUUACCGAGUUUGUUUUAAAGGGCCCCUCACAGGCUACAUAACAAAUUUUGGUUAUACACUGAAAGUUGUUACGUGCCCUCUAAGAAGUGUUCUACCGCAAGCAUUUUUCAAAUUGGUUCAUUAACAGCAGAUAGAGAAUGAUUGAAGUGCCGCGAACGCAUGAUUUCAGGAGGCGAGCGUCGCCGCCUAUAUAAACACUCUCUCGACAUUCCCCGUUUCGCCUGUGUAAGCAAAUUUCCUUCACUGCGUUCUCCCAUACCGGAGCCGAGGGGUCGCGGCGGGUAUACCCUGCCGUCUUCUUUUUUUCACCGUCACCGGCACACUUCCGGUGACGGUGUCGCGCGAGCUGUUGCGCUUGUCUCGUUUCCUGUAGCGGACGAUAAUGCGCGCUCUACACGAGAACACGUGAUUAGCGGUAUAAGUCAGUGCCCCAGCACUGAGGCAAACGCGAGAGGAUAAAAGAGCAUUCAUGAUCGCAAUGCUGGAACACAGUAGACAAUGACGUAUAGUUUCGUUCUCUGCGCGCGUGCAAACGUCGGGAAAAGGAGACGAAACGGAAAUUCAUCUCUCUUGCUACAGUGCGAAGUAAAACAAAAGCACCCAGACAUUCGGGUUGUAUUUUUCAUUAUUUCUCUAAACUUUAAUUAGUUCACUGCAGCAACAGAUUCAACAAAUAACUGAUGCUGCCUUGAAUCUAAGUCACGUGUCACUCUGAGUGCCAUCACAGCACAGCCUGUGCUCCUAUGCAGCAGCAAAGUUACGGGCAUUCAUCUGCUUGCUGCUGCGAUAACAUUAUGACACUUUAACUCAGAGGUACGAUUUUUGUUGUGUGAGAUUAUAGAUAGCCAGUAGACUACUUGUCUGAUGUUAAAUGCUAUGACCCACUGGCAAUCCACGAUGCACUCAACGAAAACGUUUUUAUGCUGUGUGUGGCGUGACUCACCAGUGACCCACACGCAAGAAUUCUCGCUCUUGUGUUGCCAUCUGAGGUUUGAAAUUGCAACUAAUAUAUAUUUUUAUUGCAUUGGACAUGGGGUGGCAUGUUUGUUUCGGAGAGUGGAGUGGCGGCGCAUUUCUCAGUUGGGUUUCUUGCAAACUUUCGCAGCAGUCUUUGAAAUACGUGCCAUUGGAAUAAGUACCUGCAUUUUUCUUGCUACUCCCAAACUUUUCAGCGUGUCUAAUAGAUAGAUCCUCAUGCCCCUUACGGAUGAAAAAAAAAAGCACAAUGCAGAGGAAACAAAUAAACUUAGUUUUGGGCCAGAAGAAUGCACCAGCAACUUCGCGAUCACCAGCGGAUGAGUCAAGUGCUUCAGUGUCAGAUGUUCAGCAGUGGACAGUGAAAUCAGUGACAAAGAUAGUGUUUACGAACCAUCACAGACCUCAGCCAGCAUGUCGAAUGGAGAGUCAGACCUGACUGAUGAUUCUGAGGUGAAUGAUUCAGGAUACAAUGCUCUCAUUUCUCUCAGCCCAUCUCUAGAGAAAUGGACACCGGCAACAACCACUUCGCCUAGUGUGACACCACACGUACUCUAGGCCGCCCACUAUCAUUCAGUUGCCAUCUAGCCGUUAUGCCCCAUCUUUAUGUUCACUGUUUAUUACGGAUGACAUUUGGCAAAUGAUGGUCAAUGAAACAAACAGGUUCACACAAGUGUUGAAGUCAACUACUCCUAAAUCUAAAUCACGCUUGAAAAAUUGGACGGAAACCAAUGCCAAAGAAAUUAAAGCAUUUAUUCGAAUACUGAUUUGUAUUGGUCUCCUCCGUCUUCCUACUCCCAAAUCUAAAUCAAAGUUGAAAAAUUGGAUGGAAACCAAUCUCCAACAAACGAAAGCAUUUGUUGGAAUACCAAUUUGUAUUAAUCUCGUCCAUCUUCCUAUCCGAGUCACUACUGGGCAAAAAGUAACCUGUAUGGUGUUGAACUCAUUCAUCAAAAUAUGAGCCGUGACCGCCUUUUCCCUACUUUUGAGGUUCCGGCAUUUUGCGGACAAUUAACUGGUUGCAGAGUUGCAGGAUCAUGUCUUUAAGAUCCAUCCUCUGGUAGAGAAAUUGAACCAAAAUUUUUGCCACUGUGCUUGAGCCAGGAAAGGAGGUUGUGAUAGAUGAAACAAUAGUGCCAUGGCGUGGCAGACUUUCGUUCUUACAGAGUCAGGCUGUUCAAGGCAUGUACCAAAGACGGUUACAGGCUAAAGGUUGAUGUAUAUGCCGGAAAGUGUGACUGAACAAUUGGCAUCGGACAUGCCGAAGAUGUAUGCUUGAAACUCCUGCAAAAUUACAAGGAAGUUGUGUGCCCGCUGUCCGUAGACAACUUCUACAUGAGCUUGCCGCUCACUUUUCGCCUUCUAAAGGAAGACACUUUCAUUCGUGGCACAGUUCGCUCAGUGAGGAAAGGGCUGCCAAAAGAUCUCACUGAAGUAAAGGUUGCAAAUGGCAGUGUUACCGAACUUCAGUCCAAAAAUGGAGUGAAGGCACUGAAGUGGAUGGACAAGAGGCCUGUUCUGAUACUCACAUCUGUCGCCAAAUAUGAAGCAACUUUGGUGGACAGUGGGAAGAAAACAAGGGACGGUGCACCAAUCAUGAAACAUCAGGCCGGUCUCGAUUACAAUGCAGCAAAAAAGGGCGUCGACUAUAGUGACCAAAUGACGUUAUACCACAACUGCCUUAGAAAAGGACUCAAGUGGUACAGAAAGGUAGCUGUUGAGUUGCUUGUUGGAUGUGUCAUCAUAAAUGCGUGGAACAUUCGUGGCAUGCUUGAAGGAAACUCUAUGCCAAUUAUAAAAUUUCAAGAUGAACUGGCUCAUUCACUGUUCGGCCCUCGUCAAGACAACAUCGAAGAAACUCGUGGGAGAAGUGUCCACAUGCUAAGAAAAACUGGCACAUCGGCACACGACACUCAGUGGCUCUGCACUGGCUGCUAUGCGGCCAACAGUACCAGCAGUAGCCCAAACACUAUGGUGAGAGUGAGAAAAGUGACCACUUUCUGUGAAUAACGCCCCGGCAAGCCAUUCAUCUGUUUGUUGUGCUUUAAUUCUAAGCACAAGUAACCUGAGAAGCAAGCUAGCUUCAACUGUAAAAUGAGUAGGAUGAAAACUUCAAGACAUGGCUAAUGUUCAUACUAAAUUUUAGCCUUUCUCUAACUAAUAAAUAUUUCUAACACAGGAA